rnacentral:rRNA from 1 species
AUUGAACGCUGGCGGCAGGCCUAACACAUGCAAGUCGAACGGUAACAGAAAGCAGCUUGCUGCUUUGCUGACGAGUGGCGGACGGGUGAGUAAUGUCUGGGAAACUGCCUGAUGGAGGGGGAUAACUACUGGAAACGGUAGCUAAUACCGCAUAACGUCGCAAGACCAAAGAGGGGGACCUUCGGGCCUCUUGCCAUCGGAUGUGCCCAGAUGGGAUUAGCUAGUAGGUGGGGUAAAGGCUCACCUAGGCGACGAUCCCUAGCUGGUCUGAGAGGAUGACCAGCCACACUGGAACUGAGACACGGUCCAGACUCCUACGGGAGGCAGCAGUGGGGAAUAUUGGACAAUGGGCGCAAGCCUGAUGCAGCCAUGCCGCGUGUAUGAAGAAGGCCUUCGGGUUGUAAAGUACUUUCAGCGGGGAGGAAGGGAGUAAAGUUAAUACCUUUGCUCAUUGACGUUACCCGCAGAAGAAGCACCGGCUAACUCCGUG